rnacentral:misc_RNA from 1 species
GAGAGAGAGAGAGAGAGAGGAGACUCUUUAGCUGGGAAUAUGGAAAUGGUAUUUGGAGGGAGGGUCAUCUUGUUCUCCUCUAUUCUUUUUCUUGCUUUUUGGUAGAACUAUUGUUUGUUCUUCUCUUUUUCUCUGAUGUUAUCCAGUCCUUGUCUCUGUUCUUGUUUUGUUACUUUUACUUUCAUUGCUUGUAUGACAAUACUCCAUUUACUAAUACGCAACCUUAUAUCAAUAGUAUAAAUUAAAUUACAUCAAGUUAAUGGAAAAAAUAAAUGGUGGCACAUAAAAUGUAGAGGGACACACCUUGUGCCUAUAAAAGGUGCAGGUCUCGGCAAUAAGGCACACACCUCAGUUACAUUGCCCAUCUGACCACGAUAGAGGUGCUAGACUUAGUGUUCAGCCUUGAACCUGAGGUUUUUCCCAAAGCUGAAAUUGAGUGUAAUAUAAGUAGACACUGCAGCAAGCUUAUAACCUCACUGAUUACAGAAAUGGACAUGGUUUUCUUAAUCACCUAGUUGCACUGUAUUGUUUCUUAAUCACCUACUUGCUCUGUGGUCAUGUCUUCCACAAUGUGUAUACAAGAUUAAUUUAGAAGAUAAAUGUGAUGUGCAAUGCAUGAAAUCGAUAGUCUUAUUGGGUAAGAAUUGGUUGCCCCUCUUACCUCCCCUUUCCUCACCCCAC